GACGUAGGGCGCGAGCGUUGUCCGGAUUUAUUGGGCGUAAAGAGCUCGUAGGCGGCUUGUCGCGUCGACUGUGAAAACCCGCGGCUCAACUGUGGGCUUGCAGUCGAUACGGGCAGGCUGGAGUUCGGUAGGGAGACUGGAAUUCCUGGUGUAGCGGUGAAUGACGCAGAUAUCAGGAAGAACACCAAUGGCGAAAGCAGCUCUCUGGGACGGUACUGGACGCUGAGACGCGAAAGCCGUGGGAGCGAACAGG
rnacentral:rRNA from 1 species